rnacentral:lncRNA from 1 species
CAAAGACUAUAUUUCUCACGCGUGGCCCACGUGCAACUUUAAUUUCAGCAGUAGAGUGCAUGAGCCAAUUCAGUGAAAUGUCACAGGCCAGGCAAAAAGGUUAAAGAUCAGACAGACAGCUGACCUUACUGCCCUCACUGGCCAGGCUGAUGACCUGAUUCUUCCCUCGGGCUCAGUCUCCCUCUAAAACACCUUGUGAUAUGCUUCAAAAGUUCACUUUUGUAUCUCCUGAAACAUGUGAACCUAGAGUAAGGCCUCCGGAGGUGAAAGGAUUGUUUUUGUGAUGCAGCAGUGUUGAGAUCUGUAUCCAUGGUAUUGCUCACAAAUUAGGAAAAGUUGUUCUUUAGUUUUUGUUCUGUCAUUUUCCCCCCAAGCUUUGGCACAUCCUGAGACAAUGCAAACAUCCGCCACUGGCAUUUGGCCGUCUCCAGGUUCCUGGCACUCACCUGCACGGCGCUCCAGCCUGCAGCUCUCUCUGCGCGCCAGCCGGCAUCAUCCAUCCCAUUCUCCUUCAAUCACUCCCUCCCGCUGAGGUGGGCCUCCUGACUCCAGCGUUUGCAUUGCUUCCUCUGAAGCCAGAGGGUGAAAGGCCCUAGCAAAGUUAGUUAUCAGUCAACUGAUGAUAACUGUGAUCCUUAAAGAUGAAUUCCCAGCCUGAGGUGACACACAGAGGUUCAGCAGACGUCUCAGGAUCUGUCACAUGUCAUGUUGCUUGGUGUGAAGAUGGAAGAACAAAGUCCACAUCAGUUUCUGCUCCUUCAAACAGUGUGUCGAUAUGAAACAUUGAGAUUUGGCAGAAACAUGUGCCUAGUUUGCAGCAACAAAUACUGGUCUUCUCGGAAGUGUUUCUGUUUUUUUGUUUUUGUUUUUGUUUUUGUUUUUUUUGUUUAAUUUCCUCUUCUGGCAUCCCCAUUUGGAUCAUUUCCUCUCUUUCUUUCCUGGAGAAACAGGAUGGCAGGUGCUGGAGCCCAGAAAGGGGGUCACCCUCCAGCUAAAAUGAUUUAAAUGGAAAGGAGAAUGACAGCAAAGCCUCACGUGAACUUUAAUGACCUUAUCAAUGACCUUUACUAACUGACUUUUGGUACCCGGAUUGUUGAGAGGUGAGUGGGACUAAAAGCCAGGAUCAAGAUCAGGUUGCUCCACACAUUUGCAGAUCAGGAGCCCCAGGAAUGUGAGUUAGACCCAGAAAGUAUUGAACUGGACAUUGAAUGAAGCUUGAGGCCACGCAUUGAUAACAUUUUUAGAGUCUGUUACAUUAUUUUCUCAAAAGGAACACAUGUUUACUACAAACCAUUUAGAAAAUACCAAUAACCAAACAGAAGGGAAAUGUCUGGAACCUUCCAGUUGUUUAAUUCUGUAGAAACUGUUCACGAAAGGCUGAAUGAGUGGGGACAAGUCACAGAGGUCUCGCCAUGGUUAGCACCAGGGACAAGUCUGGCUCCAAUGUAUGUUUUAUGAAGUCUGAUUAGCUUUCAAAUGCAUCUUUGCCAGCUGAACUUGUCAUGCACUAAACUUCCCAUUGAUCAUUAGAGUGUCUACGAUUAAGUGGAAAAGGUGGUCAACCAUUUGGAUGUUUGACUUUCACAACAUCAAGCAUUGGCCAUUGGGCAUAUCUGGGCAUUGCUAUGGAAUAAGCAGGAUACUCAGUGAAACAUCCAAAUUAUUGACUGGAUUUUUCCCAUGGGGCAUCUGUCUAAGAGUCACAGAUCUGAGAAAUAGAAGGACCAGGUCCGUGUGGAUGCCCCUAGUGUGUUCAAAUAACUCUUGAAUUCACCAGGUCUCAUUGCAUUUAUUUAAAGAUGGAGCCCAUUGUCCCCUCCUCCUCCUCAGCUCACCCAUGGAACUAGAAAUUCACAAACCUGAAGCUGAACCGCAGGACAAGAAAUUAAACAGCAACGGCCACAUGGCCUCUUUUUUCACAGGUUUUGCAUUGAAUGUUUUAGAACUUUAUUCCCCCACCCCCUUACCCAUGUAUACCAAAACUGGUUUUAUUUUCAUUUUCCUAAAUUAUUUUCUGAUACAAUAAACUGUUAACUGUUUAUUUAUACUUUUACAAGGAGCACUUGUUAUUUUUCAAAAGGAAAACAAAAGCCUCUCUGUUUUCAUGUUCUCC